AGUUUGAUCCUGGCUCAGGAUGAACGCUAGCGGCAGGCCUAACACAUGCAAGUCGAGGGGUAAAUAGUUUUCGGAUUAUUGAGACCGGCGCACGGGUGCGUAACGCGUAUGCAAUCUACCUUUUACAGGGGAAUAGCCCAGAGAAAUUUGGAUUAAUGCCCCAUGGUAUAAUUGAAUGGCAUCAUUUGAUUAUUAAAGUUCCAACGGUAAAAGAUGAGCAUGCGUCCCAUUAGUUAGUUGGUAAGGUAACGGCUUACCAAGACUAUGAUGGGUAGGGGUCCUGAGAGGGAGAUCCCCCACACUGGUACUGAGACACGGACCAGACUCCUACGGGAGGCAGCAGUGAGGAAUAUUGGACAAUGGGCGCAAGCCUGAUCCAGCCAUGCCGCGUGCAGGAAGAAGCAUCUAUGGUGUGUAAACUGCUUUUGUACGGGAAGAAACACUCCCUCGUGAGGGAGCUUGACGGUACCGUAAGAAUAAGGAUCGGCUAACUCCGUGCCAGCAGCCGCGGUAAUACGGAGGAUCCAAGCGUUAUCCGGAAUCAUUGGGUUUAAAGGGUCCGUAGGCGGUUUAGUAAGUCAGUGGUGAAAGCCCAUCGCUCAACGAUGGAACGGCCAUUGAUACUGCUAGACUUGAAUUAUUGUGAAGUAACUAGAAUAUGUAGUGUAGCGGUGAAAUGCUUAGAUAUUACAUGGAAUACCAAUUGCGAAGGCAGGUUACUAACAAUAUAUUGACGCUGAUGGACG
rnacentral:rRNA from 1 species